CAGCCGCCGCGGUAAUACCAGCUCCGCGAGUGGUCGGGACGAUUAUUGGGCCUAAAGCGUUCGUAGCCGGCCUAUCAAGUCUCUGGUUAAAUCUCAAGGCUUAACCUUGAGCGUGCUGGGGAUACUGUUAGGCUAGGGGGCGGGAGAGGUUGAGGGUACUUCGCGGGUAGGGGCGAAAUCCUAUAAUCCGCGAAGGACCACCAGUGGCGAAGGCGCUCGACUGGAACGCGCCCGACGGUGAGGGACGAAAGCCAGGGGAGCAAAGGGGAUUAGAUACCCCCGUAGUCCUGGCUGUAAACGAUGCGGGCUAGGUGUUGGGUUGGCUUCGUGCCAACCCGGUGCCGCAGCGAAGGCGAUAAGCCCGCCGCCUGG
rnacentral:rRNA from 1 species